rnacentral:rRNA from 1 species
CUCUUCGAGCCGUUGAAACUGGUUUUCUUGAGUGAGCGAGAAGUAUGCGGAAUGCGUGGUGUAGCGGUGAAAUGCAUAGAUAUCACGCAGAACUCCGAUUGCGAAGGCAGCAUACCGGCGCUCAACUGACGCUCAUGCACGAAAGUGUGGGUAUCGAACAGGAUUAGAUACCCUGGUAGUCCACACAGUAAACGAUGAAUACUAAUUGUUCGGGGAGAAUGAUCCCUGAGUGAUACAGCGAAAGCGUUAAGUAUUCCACCUGGGGAGUACGCCGGCAACGGUGAAACUCAAAGGAAUUGACGGGGGCCCGCACAAGCGGAGGAACAUGUGGUUUAAUUCGAUGAUACGCGAGGAACCUUACCCGGGCUCAAACGACACAGGAAUACUUUUGAAAGGAGGUAGCUCUACGGAGUCUGUGUCGAGGUGCUGCAUGGUUGUCGUCAGCUCGUGCCGUGAGGUGUCGGCUUAAGUGCCAUAACGAGCGCAACCCCCAUCGCCAGUUGCUAACAGGUCAGGCUGAGGACUCUGUCGAGACUGCCGGCGCAAGCUGCGAGGAAGGCGGGGAUGACGUCAAAUCAGCACGGCCCUUACGUCCGGGGCGACACACGUGUUACAAUGGCAGGUACAGCGGGAAGCCACCUGGCGACAGGGAGCGGAACCCGAAAGCCUGUCUCAGUUCGGAUUGGAGUCUGCAACCCGACUCCAUGAAGCUGGAUUCGCUAGUAAUCGCGCAUCAGCCACGGCGCGGUGAAUACGUUCCCGGGCCUUGUACACACCGCCCGUCAAGCCAUGGAAGCCGGGGGUGCCUGAAGUGCGCUGCCGCGAGGAGCGCCCUAGGGUAAAACCGGUGACUGGGGCUAAGUCGUAACAAGGUAACCGUAA